rnacentral:rRNA from 1 species
GCUUAACGCGAAGAACCUUACCUGGGCUCGAACGGUAGCUUAUAUCUCCUGAAAGGGAGUGCCCGCAAGGGGUGCUAUCGAGGUGCUGCAUGGCUGUCGUCAGCUCGUGUCGUGAGAUGUUGGGGUUAAGUCCCGCAACGAGCGCAACCCCCCAUUCCUAGUUACCAGCACGUCAUGGUGGGGACUCUAGGGAGACUGCCCCGGACAACGGGGAGGAAGGCGGGGAUGACGUCAAGUCAUCAUGGCCCUUACGUCCCGGGCUACACACGUGCUACAAUGGACGAGACAACGUGUUGCCACUCAGCGAUGAGGCGCUAAUCACUUAAACUCGUUCUCAGUUCAGAUUGCAGGCUGCAACUCGCCUGCAUGAAGCUGGAAUCGCUAGUAAUCG